rnacentral:rRNA from 1 species
UACGUAGGGUGCAAGCGUUGUCCGGAAUUAUUGGGCGUAAAGAGCUCGUAGGCGGUUUGUCGCGUCUGCUGUGAAAUCCCGAGGCUCAACCUCGGGCCUGCAGUGGGUACGGGCAGACUAGAGUGCGGUAGGGGAGAUUGGAAUUCCUGGUGUAGCGGUGGAAUGCGCAGAUAUCAGGAGGAACACCGAUGGCGGAGGCAGAUCUCUGGCCCGGUACUGACGCUGAGAUGCGAAAGCGUGGGGAGCAAACAGG